AAUUGCUGACUUGGCCUUCCUCCAAGACAUCUUUGUUAUUCACCUUAUAACUUAUCCGUAUGCGCAUGACAAGGAUUUCUUGCCAUGUUGGCUGUUUGUGAUUCUCAACUUCUGUGUGAUUGAUCCAUUACCAUUUGCAGGUAGGGAAUUACCGCUAGCUGGAUCCAAUUGCAGUUGAAGGAACUUUGGAACUGCUGCCUGGAAGAUGAAGUCCGUGAAAACAUCUUGUGACUUAUUUGUAAAACUACCGUCAAUAAGUGUCAUCUGUGGAUUUCCAGGCUGCUUUGAGAUGUUGAAUGUUAAUCUCAAGGAGCUGCUCUCAAAUGCAGUAACUGAUGAAUGUGCUGGACCAUUGCCUUCAGACGUCGGUGGACUGGAAGGAAGCCCGUUCAAUAAAUCCAACAUAGAAGAAUUUCCACCUGUAGAAGAGACUUGAGCUGAAGGAGCUGAAGGUGUGGACAAUCUAUCUAAUAUAUCCAAUGGACUUCUAUUGUCUGUAUUGGAGGAUAACACCUGAGGUGUAGAUGGGCUGCUCUGAGCAGGAGGUGUUCCAAUCGAUAGAAGAUCCAGUAAAACAUCAGAGCCUCUCUUUUGGGCCUGAUUUGCAUCUGGUUGCAAAGAGACAGGCAUCAAAUUGACACCAAGAAGAUCUUGAAGAAACUCUCCACCAGAAGAGCUAGGUGCA
rnacentral:misc_RNA from 1 species